rnacentral:sRNA from 1 species
UUUGUGGUUGAGAAAUGAGUCAUUCCUUCGUUCAUUGGAUUUCAUUUUAUUCCCUUUUUGUAUGUUUUUGUUCAUAGUGACAAUAUAUAUAUAUAUAUAUAUAUAUAUAUAUAUAUAUAUAUUAUAUAUAUGAUUGUUUGUUUCUUGUUAAAGGAUCUUUAAUAAAAUCUAAAUAAUACUAUGUUUUAUUUUUGUGGAACGAUGCUGCUUUUGUGUCCAUAUGUAGCUGGCACUUUGUGAACAUUUCUUGAUUAUCUAGAAUUAUCUUGUCUUUUUAAUUUUUUUAAAUGAAUAACACAAAAUAUCACAAGGACAUAUUUCGAACAAAGUAUAAUAAUGUUCUCGAGCACAUCAGCAUUAAUCAAUAGAGAAGGAAAAAAAAAAAAGUGAUACAAGCAUUAUAGUAUUUCAUACGCAAAUCCAUUCUAGAUAUUCUUCUAGAAAAACAUACGUCUCUUUAUAUUUUUAAUUUGGUGUAUCUCAGAUCCUCUACUAUCCAACUGUCUUGUAAAAGUUACUUUAACUAGCUAAUGUAAUUGAAACUGUAAUUUUAUAUGAACAAAUGAUUUAAACGGAUGAUUUAAUUAAUGCUAUAAAACUAGUUUGAUCAUCCUAUCUCUUCAGAUCACGUGAAUAUGAAUUCGUAGUCUUAAUUGAACAUAUUUAUCCACACACAUAUCUAUAUUUUAUAAUAUAAAGUUUGAAUUCCAAGUUUUAUACUCUAAAUAAAUUGGAUAAUGUUGUCAUAUUUCUCAUAUACAUAUCUUUAAAACCUUGUCUCUACUUAAGGCUUGGAAUCACACGGUCGUCAUUCAUCUUUUGAUUUGGUAGUCUGGCGAAGUUAGAAAUCAAUUUUGAGUUGGUGGAUAUCCUUCUAAAUGGGUGGUAGCCUAGUGAUAUUAAGAGUGAGUAUUCAAGAUCUCUAGUUCAAUCUCAUGAAAGAUAUAUAUUUUACAUUUUAAAUGUGAUUCUAUCAACGGUUAGUUAUAUACACUAACAAAGAUUACGUACUAAAUUCAGACUAAAAACAUGUAAUUCUGUAAUGGUGGAGUGAUGAACCUUCUAUAGAGAAAGAGCUUCAAAAUUACGAAUUCGAAUUUUUAUGUCAGAUAAAAAGAAGUGGUCUGCAUCCCGGUCCAAAAAUACUAUGUACUAAAAAUUCACAACUUUUUAGUCACCAAUCUUCAAGGGAUAAAUAAUAAACAAAGAC